GACGAACCGAGCGAACGUUGUUCGGAAUCACUGGGCUUAAAGGGCGCGUAGGCGGGUGCUCAAGUCCGUGGUGAAAUCCUCCGGCUCAACCGGAGAACUGCCUCGGAUACUGGGCGUCUCGAGUGUGGUAGGGGUAUGCGGAACUAUCGGUGGAGCGGUGAAAUGCGUUGAUAUCGAUAGGAACUCCGGUGACGAAGGCGGCAUACUGGACCACCACUGACGCUGAUGCGCGAAAGCCAGGGGAGUAAACGGG
rnacentral:rRNA from 1 species